rnacentral:rRNA from 1 species
CAGCCGCCGCGGUAAUACGGAGGGUGCAAGCGUUAAUCGGAAUUACUGGGCGUAAAGCGUGCGCAGGCGGUUAUGUAAGACAGUUGUGAAAUCCCCGGGCUCAACCUGGGAACUGCAUCUGUGACUGCAUAGCUAGAGUACGGUAGAGGGGGAUGGAAUUCCGCGUGUAGCAGUGAAAUGCGUAGAUAUGCGGAGGAACACCGAUGGCGAAGGCAGCCCCCUGGGCCAACACUGACGCUCAUGCACGAAAGCGUGGGGAGCAAACAGGAUUAGAUACCCCCGUAGUCCCUGUCUCUUAUAA